UACGGGGGGGGUAAGCGUUGUUCGGAAUUACUGGGCGUAAAGGGCUCGUAGGCGGCCAACUAAGUCAGACGUGAAAUCCCCAAGCUUAACUUGGGAACUGCGUCUGAUACUGGAUGGCUUGAAUUCGGGAGAGGGAUGCAGAAUUCCAGGUGUAGCGGUGAAAUGCGUAGAUAUCUGGAGGAAUACCGGUGGCGAAGGCGGCAUCCUGGACCGACAUUGACGCUGAGGAGCGAAAGCCAGGGGAGCAAACGGG
rnacentral:rRNA from 1 species